GACGAACGCUGGCGGCGUGCUUAACACAUGCAAGUCGAGCGGUAAGGCCCCUUCGGGGGUACACGAGCGGCGAACGGGUGAGUAACACGUGGGUGACCUGCCCUCAGCUCUGGGAUAAGCCUGGGAAACUGGGUCUAAUACCGGAUAUGACUCCAUGAUGCAUGUUGUGGGGUGGAAAGCCUUGUGCGGCUGAGGAUGGGCCCGCGGCCUAUCAGCUUGUUGGUGGGGGAUGGCCUACCAAGGCGACGACGGGUAGCCGGCCUGAGAGGGCGACCGGCCACACUGGGACUGAGACACGGCCCAGACUCCUACGGGAGGCAGCAGUGGGGAAUCUUGCGCAAUGGGCGAAAGCCUGACGCAGCGACGCCGCGUGAGGGAUGACGGCCUGGUGUAAC
rnacentral:rRNA from 1 species